rnacentral:snRNA from 1 species
GGCUGUGAGGGCGGCCUGGCUGACAUGUCACUCCACUGACCGCCAGGGCCGCUUCGGCUGACCUGGCUGGUUGGCGGGGCAGUGUCCCUCCUCCCUUGCCCAUCCAUGCCCUCACACCCAUGGAAAAGGAUGACCUUUCCCCCGAGGAGACGACCCGUCUCGGUCUCGGGUCAAGGGCAUAUGAGUAGCCAUGCUCCCCUGCGGGAGCCUCCACACAAGCUCUCGGAGGCUCCAGUGGGAUCACGGGCGCUUGAGGCUGAAGUGACAUUGGACUGGAGUC